AUUGAACGCUGGCGGCAUGCCUUACACAUGCAAGUCGAACGGCAGCACGGGUGCUUGCACCUGGUGGCGAGUGGCGAACGGGUGAGUAAUAUAUCGGAACGUACCUUAUUGUGGGGGAUAACGCAGCGAAAGCUGUGCUAAUACCGCACAAUCCCUAAGGGGGAAAGCGGGGGACCGUAAGGCCUCGCGCAAUUAGAGCGGCCGAUACCUGAUUAGCUAGUUGGUGAGGUAAAGGCUCACCAAGGCAACGAUCAGUAGCUGGUCUGAGAGGACGAUCAGCCACACUGGGACCGAGACACGGCCCAGACUCCUACGGGAGGCAGCAGUGGGGAAUUUUGGACAAUGGGGGCAACCCUGAUCCAGCAAUGCCGCGUGAGUGAAGAAGGCCUUCGGGUUGUAAAGCUCUUUUGUCAGGGAAGAAACAGCAGCUCUAACACAGUUUGCGAAUGACGGUACCUGAAGAAUAAGCACCGGCUAACUACGUGCCAGCCGCCGCGGUAA
rnacentral:rRNA from 1 species